rnacentral:misc_RNA from 1 species
UUAUUUCUACAAAAUGUCCUUCAACGCCAGUACCUCGGAGGUAGAUCCUCGAUAUGAUAUCCCUGUUGCGGGUCUGGGUACCCCUGCGUUUUACAUUAUCCAUUCUCUAGCGUUAACGUGUAUCCUUAGCAGCCUGUUUUCGGCGGUUUCUGUAAUUUUUGUAUCCUUUCGAACGAAGUCUACGAAAACUUUCUUUAAAUCGUGGUCAAAAUGCGAGCGCUUUGUGGUAUAUCUUGCUCUGUGUGACGGCCUGUUUAACAUGGCGCACUUCAUGGAUCAUUUUCACAUGGCGGUUGUCAAAGACCAUGUCCAUCCGAUAGAAUUAUGUGAAUACUAUGGUUUUAUAGUGUUCAUGUUUAUUUCUGCUCAGAUGUUGCUUGUGUCACUGAUUGCUAUCAAUGCGUUUGUGUUGAUGAAAUUUGGUAAAAACUUAGACCUCGGCAAGUAUGAUUGGAAAUUGCUUCUGCUAACAUUCGGAUUUCCCUUUGUUGAGUGCCUCAUCGUCACUGUCGUGGGCAAAAUUGGACCGACGGGAGCAUAGUAAGAUGAAGAAAUAAUUAAAUCAAGCUGCUUGGUCUGAGUUCCUGGUCAUAAGAAAAUCGACUAAAUUUUUAUGCAAAAACAUUUAAUCCAAAAUUAAGUUGUGUCAUUGAAAACCAAUAAACUGUUUCAAGUAUUGUAUUUUUUUCAUAGCUGCGGAGUAACGGGCAGAAUUCCGACGCUCUUUCUGACGACAGUUCCGGUGCUACUCGUCAUCAUACUGAACUCCGUCAUCUACACUCUCACUUGGUCAAAGAUACGGGCCGAAACAAAAAGACUUGAAGGCACUAUUGGAGAAAAGGCAAACUCGGAUAGAAAAUCCACACAGGCUGCCAAAACCAUGUCUUUGUUUGUAUUGGUGUUUUUCAUCCAGUGGUCGGCGUUAGCGGUGUUCGGAAUCUGGGUCAUGAUCACCAAGAAUGUCCCUUUGGCAAUGUUUCUGCUUGUUACUUCAUUUUCAAACAUCGGUGGAAUUUUGAAUGGAAUUGUCUUCUUGAUCAUGCGCAGAAACAAGGCUCGUAAAUCUGCACCCAAGCCGACUGUCGUUUGUGUUUCGAAGUCAAACACCGAGGCUACUGAAGUAAAGUAACUAUUUGCUAUUGAUAUACCGUCUGCAAUGUCACGAGGGUUGUACUGUGAUGUAAUGUGCUUUGGAAGAUAUAUUCAAAGCAUUCGACUAAAAUAGUGACAUGAACAUUACUUCCCGUCAAAGUAUUCUCCGCGGUUUAAAAUACAUAUUUUCAAUUUUUGAAUCCAUUUCUGAAAAGCGUUCCUGUACAUUGAUUUAAGUAAACCUCAGAGGCACUGAUUGAUGGCGAGGCAAGGGCUUGUCAAAUACUUGUAACGACAACCAGAUAAGAAAUUCUUAAGUUUGAAGAAGGAGAAUCGGAUGGGGCUAGAUCUGGAGAGUAUGGUGGGUGUGACAAGACGGUAACCUCCUUCGACUUCAAAAAUUGUUUUACAAGCUCAGAUAAAUGUGAUGGAGCAUUAUAAUGAUGUAGACGGACAUGCCUAAAUUCUGACACAGGCGUCGUUAAUAAUGUAAUAUUGUUUUUAAAAUUUUUCAUUUUUUAUAUAACAUCUCUGAAAUGCCGACCUGUAACACUUUAGUUGUUUGGUAGCGGCAUUUAUACGGCUAAACCAUCACAUGAGAAGAAUAUGCAAUAAAGAACUUUCUUUGUG